GAUGAACGCUGGCGGCGUGCCUAAUACAUGCAAGUCGAGCGAACAGACGAGAGUGCUUGCACUCUCUGACGUUAGCGGCGGACGGGUGAGUAACACGUGGGUAACCUACCUAUAAGACUGGGAUAACUUCGGGAAACCGGAGCUAAUACCGGAUAAUAUUUAGCUUCGCAUGAAGCAAUAGUGAAAGACGGUUCUGCUGUCACUUAUAGAUGGACCCGCGGUGUAUUAGCUAGUUGGUGAGGUAACGGCUCACCAAGGCAACGAUACAUAGCCGACCUGAGAGGGUGAUCGGCCACACUGGGACUGAGACACGGCCCAGACUCCUACGGGAGGCAGCAGUAGGGAAUCUUCCGCAAAGGGCGAAAGUCUGACGGAGCAAUGCCGCGUGAGUGAAGAAGGUUUUCGGAUCGUAAAACUCUGUUGUAAGGGAAGAACAAGUACGUUAGUAACUGAACGUACCUUGACGGUACCUUACCAGAAAGCCACGGCUAACUACGUG
rnacentral:rRNA from 1 species